rnacentral:rRNA from 1 species
GGCACCUCGAUGUCGGCUCAUCGCAUCCUGGGGCUGGAGAAGGUCCCAAGGGUUUGGCUGUUCGCCAAUUAAAGCGGUACGUGAGCUGGGUUUAGAACGUCGUGAGACAGUUCGGUCCCUAUCCGUCGUGGGCGGAGGAGAUCUGAGGGGAGCUGUCCCUCGUACGAGAGGACUGGGAUGGACCAACCUCUAGUGUACCGGUUGUCGCGCCAGCGGCACCGCCGGGUAGCUAUGUUGGGCCCGGAUAAGCGCUGAAAGCAUCUAAGUGCGAAGCCAACCCCAAGAUGAGAUCUCCCGCGAUCGCGAGAUCCCUAAAGGCCCCUUCUAGACGAGAAGGUUGAUAGGCCGCAGGUGUACGCACAGUAAUGUGUUCAGCCGAGCGGUACUAAUCGGCCGUGCGGCUUGGUCG